GACGAACGCUGGCGGCGUGCUUAACACAUGCAAGUCGAACGGAAAGGCCCUGCUUUUGUGGGGUGCUCGAGUGGCGAACGGGUGAGUAACACGUGAGUAACCUGCCCUUGACUUUGGGAUAACUUCAGGAAACUGGGUCUAAUACCGGAUAGGAGCUCCUGCUGCAUGGUGGGGGUUGGAAAGUUUCGGCGGUUGGGGAUGGACUCGCGGCUUAUCAGCUUGUUGGUGGGGUAGUGGCUUACCAAGGCUUUGACGGGUAGCCGGCCUGAGAGGGGGACCGGCCACAUUGGGCCUGGGAUACGGCCCAGACUCCUACGGGAGGCAGAAGUGGAGAAUAUUGCACAAUGGGCGGAAGCCUGAUGCAGCAACGCCGCGUGGGGGAUGACGGGCUGCGGGUAGUAAACCGAUUUCGCCUGUGACGAAGCGUGAGUGACGGUAAUGGGUAAAGAAGCACCGGCUAACUACGUG
rnacentral:rRNA from 1 species